UACGUAGGGUGCAAGCGUUGUCCGGAAUUAUUGGGCGUAAAGAGCGUGUAGGCGGCUUUACAGGUCCGUUGUGAAAACUCGAGGCUCAACCUCGAGACGCCGGUGGAAACCGUAAGGCUAGAGUCCGGAAGAGGAGAGUGGAAUUCCUGGUGUAGCGGUGAAAUGCGCAGAUAUCAGGAGGAACACCCGUGGCGAAAGCGGCUCUCUGGGACGGUACUGACGCUGAGGAGCGAAAGCGUGGGGAGCGAACAGG
rnacentral:rRNA from 1 species